rnacentral:rRNA from 1 species
AACGAACGCUGGCGGCAUGCCUAACACAUGCAAGUCGAACGAGACCUUCGGGUCUAGUGGCGCACGGGUGCGUAACGCGUGGGAACCUGCCCUUAGGUUCGGAAUAACUCCCCGAAAGGGGUGCUAAUACCGGAUAAUGUCUUCGGACCAAAGAUUUAUCGCCUUUGGAUGGGCCCGCGUUGGAUUAGCUAGUUGGUGGGGUAAAGGCCUACCAAGGCUACGAUCCGUAGCUGGUCUGAGAGGAUGAUCGGCCACACUGGGGCUGAGACACGGCCCAGACGGCUACGGGAGGCAGCAGUGGGGAAUAUUGCACAAUGGGCGGAAGCGUGAUGAAGACACGCCGCGGGCGGGAUGACGGCCUUCGGGUUGGAAACCGCUUUCGCCUGUGACGAAGCGUGAGUGACGGUAAGGGGUAAAGAAGCACCGGCUAACUACGUG